CUACUACUCCCUCCGUCCGAAAAUACUUGUCAUUGAAAUGGAUGUAUCUAGAUGCAUUUUAGUUCUAGACACAUCCAUUUUGAUGACAAGUAAUUCCGGACGGAGGGAGUAUUAU
rnacentral:pre_miRNA from 1 species